UACAACUACAAUUUUUCAGCCCUUUUCCAGAAUUUGAACUAAUUUGAUCAUAAAGAUUGAUCUAUUUAUAAUUUAUCGAUUACAAUUUUUAGACAAUUAAAGCUGGUUAAAGGAACUUUUAUUUUGGAAAAAGAACUGCUGCUGUUUCAAGACAUGCGCACUAGCUGCGACAUCUAGUGACGACAUUUACCGGGCUUUAACGGUUGUUGCUGCAUGAAGUCUGCUGCAAUUUCUCUGAGAUUUCUCAAGAUCAUCAGUUUGGACAGAAUUCAUUUGAAGAAUUAAUAGCACUAGCAGGUUCCAAUAAAGGCUGGAACAGAACAGACAGAAAAGAAUCUGUCAGAAGAAAUUCAACUACUGUUCGUGCACCAGAUGGUGAAGUAGAAAAGUUUGUAAAAACUUCUGCAGCUUGCAUCUGACAGAGAUGCAAAAAGAAUAAGAGAGCGGGCCUGAAAACAAGCAAAUUCAAGUCUUUCCUUCUUUUAGGGUACACUUGAGGAGUGUCCAGAUGUUUAUUAAUGUUUUAUUAAUGUAAUGUUAUGUUUCAAAUAAACAUGUAAACAUACUGUAUAUUUUUCUUUCUUUUUUAAACACCUACAGUAAAGUGUGACACUUAACACAUUAAAAGCAUCACAAACAUU